AUACUUACCUUCUUGACAUUGAGGCGCUCAAGCAAGCUUUCAGUGGCGACACGAAACCUCCAUUGCACAUCGGGGCGUUGAGAGUCGUUGACUUUCCUUCGGGGACGUCAUCGGGGGAAUUUUUGAUUGCAAACGGAUCUGAUCCAAACUUUUC
rnacentral:snRNA from 1 species